rnacentral:rRNA from 1 species
GGCCAGCAUCGAUUCGGACGGUAAGAUAAUGACUUAGGAACGUGGCACUCUUCGGGAGUGUGUUAUAGCCUGUGUUGAUGUUGCCUGUCUGGAUCGAGGCUGCGUCUUUUGACUAGGAUGUUGGCGUAAU